rnacentral:rRNA from 1 species
AUUGAACGCUGGCGGCAUGCCUUACACAUGCAAGUCGAACGGUAACAGGUUAAGCUGACGAGUGGCGAACGGGUGAGUAAUGUAUCGGAACGUGCCCAGUCGUGGGGGAUAACUGCUCGAAAGAGCAGCUAAUACCGCAUACGACCUGAGGGUGAAAGCGGGGGAUCGCAAGACCUCGCGCGAUUGGAGCGGCCGAUAUCAGAUUAGGUAGUUGGUGAGGUAAGGCUCACCAAGCCGACGAUCUGUAGCUGGUCUGAGAGGACGACCAGCCACACUGGGACUGAGACACGGCCCAGACUCCUACGGGAGGCAGCAGUGGGGAAUUUUGGACAAUGGGCGCAAGCCUGAUCCAGCCAUGCCGCGUGCGGGAAGAAGGCCUUCGGGUUGUAAACCGCUUUUGUCAGGGAAGAAAAGGUUCUGGCUAAUACCUGGGACUCAUGACGGUACCUGAAGAAUAAGCACCGGCUAACUACGUG